rnacentral:misc_RNA from 1 species
GAUGAAGAACGUAGCGAAAUGCGAUAAGUAAUGUGAAUUGCAGAAUUCAGUGAAUCAUCGAGUCUUUGAACGCACAUUGCGCCCCUUGGUAUUCCAUGGGGCAUGCCUGUUCGAGCGUCAUUUGUACCUUCAAGCUCUGCUUGGUGUUGGGUGUUUGUCUCGCCUCUGCGUGUAGACUCGCCUUAAAACAAUUGGCAGCCGGCGUAUUGAUUUCGGAGCGCAGUACAUCUCGCGCUUUGCACUCAUAACGACGACGUCCAAAAGUACAUUUUUACACUCUUGACCUCGGAUCAGGUAGGGAUACCCGCUGAACUUAAGCAUAUCAAUAAGCGGAGGA